AGGGGGAUAGCUCAGUGGUAGAGCACAUGCUUAGCAUGCAUGAGGUCCUGGGUUCAAUCCCCAGUACCUCCA
rnacentral:tRNA from 1 species